AGGCGCGGGCGCGACAGGGCGGGGCGUCGCGUUGGGCAGGCCGGCUAGGCCACGCCCCCACCGCCCUGUCCCAGCCUUGCGGGGUGUGGCCAGCGCGCAGGUGGGAACACAGGCGGGCGAAAUUUUUUUUUCAAAAGUGUUCUUGAUUUCUGCAAUGGGGUAGUAAUGCUGGAACCAGAAGGCCCGUUCAAAAUGACCGAGCAAGCACCUGCCCUCGCUGACCUCUAAAGGUUAACACAUACUAAAGAGCAAUGCUGUCUGAGGAGCAGAGGAACUCUGGAAAACUCUGCUGUCUGAAAUGAAAGCAAGGCACUCUCCACUAACAGCUGGUGGAUUCCGGACUUCCGCCCACAGGA